GGAGGCAUGGCAGAUCGGCUAUGUAUCUGACUUUUAAUCAGAGCGAGGUAGGUUCGAUUCCUACUGCCUCCA
rnacentral:tRNA from 1 species